rnacentral:tRNA from 1 species
GGAUUAUAGCUCAGUGGUAGAGCACUUGCCUCACACACGAGGCACUGGGUUCGAUCCUCAGCACCA